AUUCUGCCCAAGCGGGGAAGGAUGAGAAGCUUCGACCAAGGUUCGACUUGAGCGCCAGCGAGAGAGCGUUGCCGCAGGCAACGACCCGAAGGGCGAAGCGCGCAGCGCUGAGUAAUCCUUCCCCCACCA
rnacentral:sRNA from 1 species